UCGCCUGUUGUACAUCCACUGAUCACGGAUGGUUCAGUGCAGCGUGGCGAACAACCGAAUAACAAACAGCUGACUACUGAACAGGAAGCUGCAAUCCGAAACGGAAGACAUCCGUUACUACGACCGUAUCCUGCAGAACAAGAACACCGUUCCAGUCACACAGAUUGCCA
rnacentral:ncRNA from 1 species